rnacentral:rRNA from 1 species
UACGUAGGGUCCGAGCGUUGUCCGGAAUUACUGGGCGUAAAGAGCUCGUAGGUGGUUUGUCGCGUCGACUGUGAAAACUCACAGCUCAACUGUGGGCGUGCGGGCGAUACGGGCAGACUAGAGUACUGCAGGGGGAGACUGGAAUUCCUGGUGUAGCGGUGGAAUGCGCAGAUAUCAGGAGGAACACCGGUGGCGAAGGCGGGUCUCUGGGCAGUAACUGACGCUGAGGAGCGAAAGCGUGGGGGAGCGAACAGG